UAGAUGUUAUGGAACACUUUAUAUGUAUUUUUGCUUUGUAUUGUCUUGUUUAUUUGUGUCUGUCCUCCCUCUCCCUAGGGGGAGCCAUCACCAUGCUGGGCUGCUGAGUGCUACAGGUGGUGCGGGUCCUGAAGGUGGAGUAUAAAAGAAAAGAGAAUGGGCGAAAUCCUUUCGCUAGUGUGGUUGUCUACUGACUGUGUAGGCUGUAUAUAAUCUUGCUACAACUGCUGGAAGUGGGUGCGUAUGUCAUUUUCUUUAUCACUUUUCUCCUGGUUUUGGGUUAGGUAGAGUGUUGGGGAACAGUUUUGUAGUUUCUGUUUAAUGUUUAGUGACGGUAGUUUUGUUUGGGUUUGUUUAGUUUUGGCUUUGCUUACAACUAGUGUAAUGGAUUCCUGAAUAUACUCCCUCAGAUGAAACAUUGUAAUGGUAGGUAAUUUGAAAUCAAUCUUUGAAUUUAUAAAAGAAAGUAUAUGGUUAUAUUAUGUGCUGAUAGAGAUGUGAAAGUGAGUCAAAGAGACAAACAGGAAUGGAGGAUAUUUUGUUGAUUAUGGCAGUGUUGCUGUUAUUCCUUUGUCUGUUUUGUACCUGUUGAUUUGUUUCUUGUCUCAAUUAUUUUUUUUGUUACAGUAGCCCACUUAUCAGUUUGCCCUUGUAAAUUAACAUUUAACACAACCCAUGUUUACCCAGGUGACAUCCAAGCCAGCAUGACCUUUGAUAGGAAUUUACUUGUCAUCGUCCAAGGAGUUUUUGCAAUUUGACAAAGGUCACAGGGAAACCUGGAGCCUAUCCCAGGGAGCAUUGGGCAAAAGGCAGGGUACACCCUGGGCAGGGUACACCCUGGACAGGGUGCCAAUCCAUCGCAGGGCACACUCACACACGCACUCGCACAUCCAUUCAUACACUAUGGACAAGUUGGACAUGCCAAUCAGCCUACCAUGCAUGUCUUUGGACUGGGGGAAGAAACCGGAGUACCGGAGGAAACCCUUGCAGCAUGGGGAGAAUGCCGCACACACGGUCACGGUGGGAAUCGAACCCCUGAACGUGCUAACCACUAAGCCACCGUGCGCCCCUGUAUCCUGUGUGCAUAUUUGUAUUGCUUUAACCCAUCGCUCAUUCCCGCCAUCUCACCAAGUUCCUGCCUUUCAACCAUUAGCCUAUUCUCAGCAGACACAAAGCACUGUUGUGUAUGGCAUCAAACAUUUGCUUGACAGUAGCAGUAAAUGGCCGCUAUCCUGACUCAAAACAAUGGCCAUAUAAGGUAAUUUUUUAUUUCAUGUUAUUGUAUAGCUUUGAAUUACAUGACCAUUCAAAUGUGUAAAUGAUGGUAGCAGGUACGCUCAUG
ensembl:lncRNA